CCUACGGGUGGCAGCAGUGAGGAAUAUUGGUCAAUGGGCGGGAGCCUGAACCAGCCAAGUCGCGUGAAGGAUGACUGCCCUACGGGUUGUAAACUUCUUUUAUAAAGGAAUAAAGUGAGGCACGUGUGCCUGUUUGAGUGUACUUUAUGAAUAAGCAUCGGCUAACUCCGUGCCAGCAGCCGCGGUAAUACGGAGGAUCCGAGCGUUAUCCGGAUUUAUUGGGUUUAAAGGGGGCGUAGAUGGGUUGUUAAGUCAGUUGUGAAAGUGUGCGGCUCAACCGUAACAUUGCAUUUGAGACUGGCAGUCUUGAGUUCAGGUGAGGUAGGCGGAAUGCGUGGUGUAGCGGUGAAAUGCUUAGAUAUCACGAAGAACUCCGAUUGCGAAGGCAGCUUAC
rnacentral:rRNA from 1 species